GGCAGAAAUCCAGAACAACCAGAUCACACUAUACCAUCUACAGUAGCUCAAGGUUGUGUGGAAGGAGAUUUGUCUUGCAACGGAUAAUGAUCCGAACCACCCUUCUCACAUGUGUAAAAAUUAUUUAAGAAGAAAGCAUGAGAAAGGCGAUUUAGUUGUUACAAAAUUUUCUUCCUCAAUCUCGGGACAUAAAUCCCAUUGAGAAUUUAUGGGACCAUUUGAAACAAGAGAAAGUGAAACAUGAUACCACAAGUAAAGACAACCUACUGUAUAGCAUGUCCUUAAUCA